rnacentral:rRNA from 1 species
GGGCCCGCACAAGCAGCGGAGCAUGUCGUUUAAUUCGAUGCAACGCGAAGAACCUUACCAGGUCUUGACAUCUGACUAAAGCUGCAGAGAUGCAGUGUCCCUUCGGGGGAGUCAAGACAGGUGGUGCAUGGUUGUCGUCAGCUCGUGUCGUGAGAUGUUGGGUUAAGUCCCGCAACGAGCGCAACCCUUAUGAUCAGUUACUAACGGGUAGAGCCGAGGACUCUGAUAAGACUGCCGGGGACAACUCGGAGGAAGGUGGGGACGACGUCAAAUCAUCAUGCCCCUUAUGACCUGGGCUACAGACGUGCUACAAUGGCGGUUACAAAGAGAAGCGAAGUCGUGAGGCCGAGCAGAUCUCAAAAAAGCCGUACUCAGUUCGGACUGUGGGCUGCAACCCGCCCACACGAAGAUGGAGUUGCUAGUAAUCGCGGAUCAGAAUGCCG